UGCUGAUGGGCCAGCCCCAGAGUCCCUGGCGCCAGGCCCUGAGAAAGCAGUCUCUGUCUCCCCUAGCCGACACCCCAGGCCAGGGCCUCGGCCCCGGAGCCGCAUCCCUGUGCUGUUGUCAGAGGAGGACACAGGCUCAGAGCCCUCGGGCUCGCUGUCAGCCAAAGAGCGCUGGAGUAAGAGGGCCCGGCCGCAGCAGGACCUGGCUCGGCUGGUGAUGGAGAAGAGGCAGAGUCGCCUGCUUCUGCGGCUGGCCUCGGGGGCCUCGUCUUCCUCCAGUGAGGAGCAGCGCCGGGCCUCCGAGACCCUCUCGGGGACAGGCUCGGAGGAAGACACGCCAGCCUCUGAGCCUGCCGAGGCUACCUUGCCAAGGAAGGCUGGGCAGGCAGCUGUCCCCCGCAGCCGGAUUCCCCGCCCCAUCAGCACCCUUGUACCCACGCCCGCCACCACCCAGCAGCUUCCAGGCAGACCCCUCGGCGCGGCCCCAGCACCUGACACCACUGUCACCAGCAGGCUCCAGCUGCAGAAGCCCCCCGGAUCGGCCGCUGUUGCUGACCCCCACCCCAGGCAGCCACCCAGCCGCAGUGCUGGCCCAGGGAGAACCCCGACCACCAGGCCCCCUGUACCCCGCAGCCCUGGCCUUCCUGCCUCCACCACUCGCCACCCCAGCGUGUCCCCCCGGAGCCAGUCCCUGUCCCGCAAAGAAAGCUUGUCCCCCUCACACCAAGCCCGGCCCGGGGUGCCCCCAACUCGGGGUGUACUUCAGGCCCGAGCACAGCCUGAUAGUGGCACCCCCUCCCUGGGAGGCCCCAAGAAAGGACCCAGAGGGAAACUCCAGACUCAGCGUGCAGCAACCAAAGGCCGGGCGGGGGGUUCAGAGGGCCAGGCAGGGACCAGAUAAUGAUGCUCACUCGUGGCUCUCUGCAGACCCCACCCUCGCCUGGCCCCCUAUCUGCAACCUGGAACGCGCCCAGCACAGCCUUAUGCGCCCCAAGCGCACCCGCCUGCAUCCACCAGGACCGUGCAGGAGGGGGUCGGUGGCCCUUACUCUCUCCGCACCUCCCUGACCUGGCUCCUCUGCCCCCCCAAAGACUCAGCCAGUUUUCUCCAGAACUUCACUUUUGGGGAUACCCCACACCCUUCAGAUCUUGGCAGCUCUCUGCCCCCAGGGCCCUCUGCUUACAUCUCCUGCGACGCUUUGUCCUCCCCGCUCCCUUCUCGACACCUCUACCCCCUUUCCGGAGAAACAGCUUCAAAUUCAGCCUCGCCAUGGUCUCCUGGGAGCCUUGGUACCCAGGACGAUCACUCAGCUGCACGCAGGGGUUGAGGAGGUGGAACCAAGGGGCCACCAGGCUACUCAGGUGUGAAGGGACAGCUUCCACCGCCCUGAGUGAGCUCCAUACUGGUAACGCUGGGGAAAGAUAGGAGGCCCGUGAUUUGGUGGAGGGACCCUUCCACGUCCUAGUGACUGUGGCGUCCCCACAGUCACUGUGGGAGGAGUGUGGACUGUCUUCCUGGGCAAGAGAUUCCCCACGGGAGGGUCUUUCAAAAGGUUUCACUCCCCCCUGGCCCCUGAUCCAGUGUUCAGGACCUCUAUGACCAGGGAUUGCCUCCUGCUGUCUAACUUCAGUCCUAUCUGCAGGGCUUUGGCCAGCUCCCCUCUCCCUGGGGUUCUGCACAGGUGGAGAGAGG
rnacentral:lncRNA from 1 species